UAUACUUUAAUUCUAGAACAUACCACACAGUCUAAGAAUUUCUUGCAGCUCUUUAAAUCAAGAUCUGCCAUUUCUGCAAGUAUUCUAAUAUUUGGAAAACUAAUGUGGCCUAGUACCCUGUGCAAAUGAUGAACACAAUUAUCAUGCAUUGGGAAUUUUUCAUUUUUAGAAACAUUUGAUGCAUUUUCUUUUUUCACUUUGUCCAACAUAAAAUAUAAGUUCUCGAGCUCUCUGUGCAUACUUCACGAUUCAAAUACACUUUACACCUUUGUGCAUUUAACUCAAUUUUGUAACCAUCUUGAAUUAACUUGUAGUUCUGGUACACAUGAAACAUUAUCCACAUUUUCCCCUAAACAAGGAAUGUACACUUUUUCCUUCUCUUUUUUUCUUUUAUUGUGGCAUUUAUGUGGCAUUUAUGCAGUCCAUCUUGGGUAACUGAAUAAUCUUGAAAGCCAACAGCUCUUACUUUUUAACAGUUCCUGACUGAAAGUCAAAGAAAAUUUUGCUUUAAUUGAAGAAUUUUAGUCUGCAGUAGCAAUAUUUCAUAAAGCCUUAAUCACAAGAUGCUCUUUAAUUUUACAGCUAUACCCUUGCUUGUGAGAUUGAAGCAGCUAUUAAAAGAACUACCACAUCUCAAACUCCCGGAAGAGCAUGGUGAAACGGCUGAGCUUGUGAGCAUGACUCAAUGGGUGGUGAUUUUGGAGCAACUGGCAUGCUAGUUAAAUUGGACUGCAUUAUAAGUAGCCACAAUCUUUCUUUUUUAAAAAUAGAUUUUUAUUAGAGUUUUAGAUAUAAUAUACAGCGAUAGAGUGAGGACAUAUGAUUUUAUAGAAAAGAAUGAUAGAAAGAAUAGGAAAGAGAGAGAGAGAGAGAAAUUAGAAUAAAAAUAUUUUGACUUCCGUUCUUUUCUUCGGGUACAUGUUAGGUCUCCUUGUUAUAAUCCAUCUUUCCCUUUUAGUAAGUCUGGAAAUUUAGUUCAAAAUCCUAAACUUGGUAGGACUUUUUAAUAUACUUCUCAAAUUGUGCCCAGUCAGUCAUUUUUCAACCUUUAACCUUAUUCUUCUUUAGCAAAAAUGUUAAUUUGUCCUUAUCCUUAAUUUCCAUGACUUUAUUUAGCCAUGACUUUUUGGUUGAUAAGCUGUCUGUUUUCCAUUCUUUUGCGAAAACCAUUCUGGCUGCUGUCGUAAGUAAAUAAGUGGUUUUUCUUUGUUUGCAUCUAUACUAAGUUCCUCUUUGUAUAUUCCCAGUAAGUAUAUUUCAGGUCUCGUUGUAUAAUUGACUCCCAAUAUUUUUUUUCUGAAUCAAAGUAGAAUUUCGUGUACAGACAUUUGUAGAAAUACACAUUCACUUUUCUUCCUUUGAAAUCUAUCCCUUGAUUUGAAAUAGGUGUAAUAUUAUUGUCUUUCUAGGUUAUUUCAGGGAUUUGAUGUAAUUUCAAAUACCACGCCCACCAAAAAACAGCCAAGCGGGAGCUCUGGGGAAAGCAUGGCGUUUGAUAGUGUAUCGCCUUGCGAGUCACCAGAUUGGCCACAGAAGAACGUAUGUAGUUGCAGACAGUGGGUCAAGGCUGUUCUUCAUUUUUCCAGGAGAAAAAAAAACCCUACGUCUUUAGUAGUAUCGCUAGAAGCAGCAUUAUAACUAAGUAAUGCCCACUGCAAUUCUCAAAGACCAGGGGCAGCCCUACCAUUACGCAGAGUGAAAUAGCUAACUUGGAAGAAUGCAUGUUAUGAAAAUGUUAAUUAUUUGCUUUGUUGUCAAUGUAAUUUACAGCUCAGUUAGAGGUUGGAGGAAAAUGUGUGAAUAUUUUAUGCCCUGUGCACCAAAAUAACUUGCACCUUGGCAUGUAAAUGAGUGUGCAUGUCACUUGCUGUGCUGCCUCAGAGCAAAAAUCUCGUGAUAGUUCUGCUAAAAGCUAGUUCAAAAGGCCUUCCUACACAUAAUGUAAGAGAGAUAUUCUUGAUUGAUGAAAAAAAAAUAAGGAAGGCUUUCACAAUAUAAUUAUCACUUGCAGACACUUUUGUUUCUGCUACCAUCUUCUGGCCAGUUGCUCUAAAUGUGGGGGAAAAGAUUGCAACAGGUGCCUGUACUUUAUCAUAUACAGUAGAGUCUCACUUAUCCAAGCGUCGCUUAUCCAAGCCUCUGGAUAAUCCAAGCCAUUUUUAUAGUCAAUGUUUUCAAUAUAUCAUGAUAUUUUAGUGCUAAAUUUGUAAAUACAGUAAUUACAACAUAACAUUACUGCGUGUUGAAUUACUUUUUCGGUCAAAUUUGUUGUAUAACAUGAUGUUUUGGUGCUUAAUUUGUAAAAUCAAAACCUAAUUUGAUGUUUAAUAGGCUUUUCUUUAAUCCCUCCUUAUUAUCCAAGAUAUUCGCUUAUCCAAGCUUCUGCCAGCCCGUUUAACUUGGAUAAGUGAGACUCUACUGUAGUUAUUAUAACUUAUCCAAAACUUUUAAAUGCCUCUUCUUCAGGAAAAACCUUGAAUACAUCACCUUCUGUCAAUAGCCAAUAGCAGGCAAUAUCUCACUGUCAUAUGCCAGUAAAUGAGUGAUGUGAUCCUCUUAUUUUGUGUGCCAAUCCUUAGUUCUUGGAAUCCUCUUCCCCUUCUUCCUCCAAUCACUCCAUGAACACUUCUUCAUCCGAUGUGUCCUCUUUAGCUUUCUUGCCUCCUCCUCCACUGGACAAGCCUCCAACCAGGACAAGGCUCUAAGCAGUUAUGCAGAGAGCAUUGCUAAAACACAACUUGGACCCAAUUGCCGUGGAGGAGUAUGACCUUGUGCAUAUCAUCUCUUAGAAAAAAGAACUACUAAUUCCAUUUGAUGCCAACGUGUUUUAUGCCAGUUCCCCCCAAAGACCCCUGUAAAGGAUCAAUCAGGCAGGGGAGUUUUGAGAUCAUACCUCUGCCACCAACAAUAUAUAAAAGGAAUGUUUAUUUCUGCUGCCACCUUUCGUGUUCAGGAACCUUGCUUUAUUUAUUUUGAGGCUUAAAAAUAAGAGUGAGACUUUGCAUAAGAUGAAACAAUAACUUUGUCUCCUUUGACGUACAUAAGCGUGAUGGUUUCAAUAAUAUAUAGACAGUAUAGAUGCUUGGUGGUUAUAAUGAUAGUUAUUGAUUAUUCUCUUAUAAAGAUGUCACUUUAAAAAUAGUUUCCGUGCAAUUUUCUUUUAUGUAUUUCCUCAGCCUUUCCUUCACAAAAGGCUUUUGUAAUAUUACUCCCAAACUGACUUCUAGAACACCUAGUCCCAAACUGGACUCUGAAAUCCUGACUAAACUGCACUUUGUGUAGGCAUCGAAUUGUUGCCAUUGUUGUAAGCUGCCCUGAGUCCCUUUGGGUGAGAAGGGCGGGAUAUAAAUGCUGGAAAUAAAUAAAUAAACUCAACUGCCCUCUCCAAGCUCCUUGAUACCAGCUAACUGCAUUAGAUGCCCCAGCUAACUGAAAUGGAAUGUUCAGUUGGCCAUUUCUAACUGCCAUUCUUGACUCCGCCCAUCUCUUGUGACUCAGCACCUGCUCAUUUGCAUCUGGCCAAGCAGGCCACUCCUAUGCAAAUAGCUGCUAGUCAGCUCUUCCCCCGGCUCUGCUGCCCAAUGAGAGCCACAAAAUGUCUGCCUAACUUCCUGGUUUUUUACAAAAUGGCUGCUCACACACCAACAUCUUUGAGCCAGCAAUCUAUGCUCCUAUUACCUCUUCAAAUCCCAUCUUGUCUGGGUGCUUCUGUGGAACUGUGAUAUAUUCUGAACCUUCAAUUGGAGGAUGAUCAACUGGAAGAAACAGAGCCAUCAAGAUAUUAAAAAGAGA